GGGUUGUGAGGUUAAGCGACUAAGCGUACACGGUGGAUGCCCUGGCAGUCAGAGGCGAUGAAGGACGUGCUAAUCUGCGAAAAGCGUCGGUAAGGUGAUAUGAACCGUUAUAACCGGCGAUGUCCGAAUGGGGAAACCCAGUGUGAUUCGUCACACUAUCGUUAACUGAAUACAUAGGUUAACGAGGCGAACCGGGGGAACUGAAACAUCUAAGUACCCCGAGGAAAAGAAAUCAACCGAGAUUCCCCCAGUAGCGGCGAGCGAACGGGGAGCAGCCCAGAGUCUGAAUCAGCUUGUGUGUUAGUGGAACGGUCUGGAAAGUCCGACGGUACAGGGUGAUAGUCCCGUACACCAAAAUGCACAGGCUGUGAACUCGAAGAGUAGGGCGGGACACGUGGUAUCCUGUCUGAAUAUGGGGGGACCAUCCUCCAAGGCUAAAUACUCCUGACUGACCGAUAGUGAACCAGUACCGUGAGGGAAAGGCGAAAAGAACCCCGGCGAGGGGAGUGAAAAAGAACCUGAAACCGUGUACGUACAAGCAGUGGGAGCACCUUCGGGUGUGACUGCGUACCUUUUGUAUAAUGGGUCAGCGACUUAUAUUCUGUAGCAAGGUUAACCGUAUAGGGGAGCCGCAGGGAAACCGAGUCUUAACUGGGCGUUAAGUUGCAGGGUAUAGACCCGAAACCCGGUGAUCUAGCCAUGGGCAGGUUGAAGGUUGGGUAACACUAACUGGAGGACCGAACCGACUAAUGUUGAAAAAUUAGCGGAUGACUUGUGGCUGGGGGUGAAAGGCCAAUCAAACCGGGAGAUAGCUGGUUCUCCCCGAAAGCUAUUUAGGUAGCGCCUCGUGAACUCAUCUUCGGGGGUAGAGCACUGUUUCGGCUAGGGGGUCAUCCCGACUUACCAACCCGAUGCAAACUACGAAUACCGAAGAAUGUUAUCACGGGAGACACACGGCGGGUGCUAACGUCCGUCGUGAAGAGGGAAACAACCCAGACCGCCAGCUAAGGUCCCAAAGUCAUGGUUAAGUGGGAAACGAUGUGGGAAGGCACAGACAGCCAGGAUGUUGGCUUAGAAGCAGCCAUCAUUUAAAGAAAGCGUAAUAGCUCACUGGUCGAGUCGGCCUGCGCGGAAGAUGUAACGGGGCUAAACCAUGCACCGAAGCUGCGGCAGCGACACUAUGUGUUGUUGGGUAGGGGAGCGUUCUGUAAGCCUGCGAAGGUGACCUGUGAGGGUUGCUGGAGGUAUCAGAAGUGCGAAUGCUGACAUAAGUAACGAUAAAGCGGGUGAAAAGCCCGCUCGCCGGAAGACCAAGGGUUCCUGUCCAACGUUAAUCGGGGCAGGGUGAGUCGACCCCUAAGGCGAGGCCGAAAGGCGUAGUCGAUGGGAAACAGGUUAAUAUUCCUGUACUUGGUGUUACUGCGAAGGGGGGACGGAGAAGGCUAUGUUAGCCGGGCGACGGUUGUCCCGGUUUAAGCAUGUAGGCUGGUUAUCCAGGCAAAUCCGGAUAAUCAAGGCUGAGGUGUGAUGACGAGGCACUACGGUGCUGAAGUAACAAAUGCCCUGCUUCCAGGAAAAGCCUCUAAGCAUCAGGUAACAUCAAAUCGUACCCCAAACCGACACAGGUGGUCAGGUAGAGAAUACCAAGGCGCUUGAGAGAACUCGGGUGAAGGAACUAGGCAAAAUGGUGCCGUAACUUCGGGAGAAGGCACGCUGGUGUGUAGGUGAAGCCCCUGCGGGUGGAGCUGAGACCAGUCGAAGAUACCAGCUGGCUGCAACUGUUUAUUAAAAACACAGCACUGUGCAAACACGAAAGUGGACGUAUACGGUGUGACGCCUGCCCGGUGCCGGAAGGUUAAUUGAUGGGGUUAUCCGUAAGGAGAAGCUCUUGAUCGAAGCCCCGGUAAACGGCGGCCGUAACUAUAACGGUCCUAAGGUAGCGAAAUUCCUUGUCGGGUAAGUUCCGACCUGCACGAAUGGCGUAAUGAUGGCCAGGCUGUCUCCACCCGAGACUCAGUGAAAUUGAACUCGCUGUGAAGAUGCAGUGUACCCGCGGCAAGACGGAAAGACCCCGUGAACCUUUACUAUAGCUUGACACUGAACAUUGAGCCUUGAUGUGUAGGAUAGGUGGGAGGCUUUGAAGCGUGGACGCCAGUCUGCGUGGAGCCAACCUUGAAAUACCACCCUUUAAUGUUUGAUGUUCUAACGUUGGCCCCUUACCGGGGUUGCGGACAGUGUCUGGUGGGUAGUUUGACUGGGGCGGUCUCCUCCCAAAGCGUAACGGAGGAGCACGAAGGUUAGCUAAUCCUGGUCGGACAUCAGGAGGUUAGUGCAAUGGCAUAAGCUAGCUUGACUGCGAGCGUGACGGCGCGAGCAGGUGCGAAAGCAGGUCAUAGUGAUCCGGUGGUUCUGAAUGGAAGGGCCAUCGCUCAACGGAUAAAAGGUACUCCGGGGAUAACAGGCUGAUACCGCCCAAGAGUUCAUAUCGACGGCGGUGUUUGGCACCUCGAUGUCGGCUCAUCACAUCCUGGGGCUGAAGUAGGUCCCAAGGGUAUGGCUGUUCGCCAUUUAAAGUGGUACGCGAGCUGGGUUUAGAACGUCGUGAGACAGUUCGGUCCCUAUCUGCCGUGGGCGCUGGAGAAUUGAGGGGGGCUGCUCCUAGUACGAGAGGACCGGAGUGGACGCAUCACUGGUGUUCGGGUUGUCAUGCCAAUGGCACUGCCCGGUAGCUAAAUGCGGAAGAGAUAAGUGCUGAAAGCAUCUAAGCACGAAACUUGCCCCGAGAUGAGUUCUCCCUGAGACUUUAAGUCUCCUGAAGGAACGUUGAAGACGACGACGUUGAUAGGCCGGGUGUGUAAGCGCAGCGAUGCGUUGAGCUAACCGGUACUAAUGAACCGUGAGGCUUAACCUUACAACGCCGAAG
rnacentral:rRNA from 10 species